AUACGGAGGGAGCGAGCGUUAAUCGGAAUUACUGGGCGUAAAGCGCGCGUAGGCGGCUUUGUAAGUCGGAUGUGAAAGCCCUGGGCUUAACCUGGGAAUGGCAUUCGAUACUGCAUAACUAGAGUAUGGUAGAGGGAAGUGGAAUUUCCGGUGUAGCGGUGAAAUGCGUAGAUAUCGGAAGGAACACCAGUGGCGAAGGCGACUUCCUGGGCCAAUACUGACGCUGAGGUGCGAAAGCGUGGGGAGCAAACAGGAUUAGAAACCCCGGUAGUCC
rnacentral:rRNA from 1 species